rnacentral:lncRNA from 10 species
UGGCAGAGUUUUUCAAAGUGAGAUCUGAGGACCACCUGCAUCAGUCUUGGGGUGCUUGGGUGCUUCCAUUUAAAAUGCUGAUUACUGGUUUCACUCCCAGGGGAGCGGGGUAUGAGUGUGGCAGCCUAUGUAGUUCAAAAAUAUUUGUUAUUCCUCCCUGGGAGAAAAUUAUAUCCCUCUGUCUACUGUCAGAUUUGGCCAUCGCAGACUUAGCUGUGAAUAUUUCAGCAUAUAUAUCUAAAAGAUAACUGUUUUAGAAAACAUAAUCAUGGCCAGGCGCGGUGGCUCAUGCCUAUAAUCCCAGCACUUUGGGAGGCCAAGGCGGGUGGAUCACGAGGUCAGGAGUUUGACACCAGCCUGGCCAACAUAGUGAAACCCCGUCUCUACUAAAAAUACAAAAAUUAGCCGGGCAUGGUGGUGUGCGCCUGUAGUCCCAGCUAUUCGGGAGGCUGAGGCAGGAGAAUGGCGUGAACCCGGGAGGUGGAGGUUGUGGUGAGCCAAGAUUGCGCCACUGCACUCCAUCCUGGGUGACAGUGAGACUCUGUUUCAAAACAACAACAAAAAAGAAAACCACUUUACCACUGUCACACCUAAACAACUUUGAUACAAACUUAUCAAAUAAAUAUUCAGUGUUUAAA